AGCUGGUCCAAGUGCAAAGGUGUUUACAAUUAAUUGAUCACUACCAGUUACAGAUUUCUUUGUUCCUUCUCCACUCCCAAUGUUUCUCUUGACUGUCCAAAU
rnacentral:Y_RNA from 1 species